UACGGAGGGUGCGAGCGUUAAUCGGAAUCACUGGGCGUAAAGCGCGCGUAGGCGGCUUUUCAAGUCAGGGGUGAAAUCCCACGGCCCAACCGUGGAACUGCCUUUGAAACUGUAGAGCUUGAGUGUCGGAGAGGGUGGCGGAAUUCCAGGUGUAGGAGUGAAAUCCGUAGAUAUCUGGAGGAACAUCAGUGGCGAAGGCGGCCACCUGGACCGGUAUUGACGCUGAGGCGCGAAAGCGUGGGGAGCAAACAGG
rnacentral:rRNA from 1 species